AGUGAACGCUGGCGGUAGGCCUAACACAUGCAAGUCGAACGGCAGCACAGUAAGAGCUUGCUCUUACGGGUGGCGAGUGGCGGACGGGUGAGGAAUACAUCGGAAUCUACUUUUUCGUGGGGGAUAACGUAGGGAAACUUACUCUAAUACCGCAUACGACCUACGGGUGAAAGCAGGGGAUCUUCGGACCUUGCGCGAUUGAAUGCGCCGAUGUCGGAUUAGCUAGUUGGCGGGGUAAAGGCCCACCUAGGCGACGAUCCGUAGCUGGUCUGAGAGGAUGAUCAGCCACACUGGAACUGAGACACGGUCCAGACGCCUACGGGAGGCAGCAGUGGGGAAUAUUGGACAACGGGGGCGAGCCUGAUCCAGCCGUACCGCGUGGGUGAAGAAGGCCUUCGGGUUGUAAAGCCCGUUUGUGGGGAAAGAAAAGCAGCAGGUUAAUACCCCGCUGUUCUGACGGUACCCGAAGAAUAAGCACCGGCUAACUUCGUG
rnacentral:rRNA from 1 species